rnacentral:rRNA from 1 species
AUUGAACGCUGGCGGCAGGCCUAACACAUGCAAGUCGAACGAGUGGCGGACGGGUGAGUAAUGUCUGGGAAACUGCCUAAUGGAGGGGGAUAACUACUGGAAACGGUGGCUAAUACCGCAUACGAUCAGAUCUGCCCAGAUUGGAUGAGCUAGUGGGUGGGGUAACGGCUCACCAAGGCGACGAUCCCUAGCUGGUCUGAGAGGAUGACCAGCCACACUGGAACUGAGACACGGUCCAGACUCCUACGGGAGGCAGCAGUGGGGAAUAUUGCACAAUGGGCGCAAGCCUGAUGCAGCCAUGCCGCGUGUAUGAAGAAGGCCUUCGGGUUGUAAAGCACUUUCAGCGGGGAGGCGUUACCCGCAGAAGAAGCACCGGCUAACUCCGUGCCAGCAGCCGCGGUAAUAC